GAUGAAUGCUGGCGGCGCGCCUAACACAUGCAAGUCGAGCGGAAAGGCCCUUCGGGGUACUCGAGCGGCGGACGGCUGAGUAACGCGUGGGAACAUGCCCCAAAGUGAGGAAUAACUGCCCGAAAGGGUAGCUAAUACCGCAUAUGAUCUUCGGAUUAAAGGAUUUAUCCGCUUUGGGAGUGGCCCGCGUACGAUUAGGUAGUUGGUGAGGUAAAGGCUCACCAAGCCUACGAUCGUUAACUGGUCUGAGAGGAUGAUCAGUCAGACUGGAACUGAGACACGGUCCAGACUCCUACGGGAGGCAGCAGUGAGGAAUCUUCCACAAUGGGCGAAAGCCUGAUGGAGCGACGCCGCGUGCAGGAUGAAGGCCUUCGGGUUGUAAACUGCUUUUAUAAGUGAAGAAUAUGACGGUAACUUAUGAAUAAGCACCGGCUAACUACGUGCCAGCCGCCGCCGUA
rnacentral:rRNA from 1 species